CGCACCAGAGACUGUGUAUCUGAGAGUUCCAGUGGGGAUGACUCCCUACUUCUCGUUACUGAAUCUACAUUGCUGAUGGAUGUGUGGAGGCAUUUUAACCCUAUGGGUCGACAGGAAGGCGGUUACAAGUGAAACCUGGAGGGAGACUCAUUUCCGUAUCCUACUUAAAGCUACCUAUGCCCAAAAAUGUGAUCAAGAAAAGGGUUGAAAAAUAUUUUGCCCAAAUCCAGAUGAACUCCAGAUGAAUAUCCAGCUCAAGUACAGAUAAGAAGGGGAUGACAUAUGCUAAUUAGUAGCAAUUAUUUUGUUGUAAAAAGGCUUUUAUUCCUAGAAAUUCCUUGUGCUCACCUCUUUUUGCUUAUAUGGCAUGCAUGGGAUAGGCUUCCUUUUGGUUUGCAGAAGCAAAAUGAUGUGGGUUUUGUAAUGCACUUUGCAUUUUCCAUGAAUCCUCUGGCUGAGGAUCAGGUGGUUGAUCA